CUUAGGGUGGGAUUACAUACGCCUCCUGCCACAUCGGAUUUCCUUCUAUUUUGUCAGGGGUAGCAUCACCCAGUGAGUAAAUCUGUUAGUGAUCUCCCUUGCGUAACCUAGGAAUUCUCUCAGGAUCCAUUUCUCCAGUAGUUUUGAGAAGGCGACCAACAACAGCAAAGCGAGCAGUUCUUCCAUUCCAAGAGCAGCCAUCUUGCUUAACUGACAAACUAGAGAGAACUGCAAGGACUCAGUACAUCCCUGGCACAAUCCAUUCUCUCUCACAGCAUAUUAUAUGAGACUGUGUGAGUGCUGCUUCCACGGUGCACUAAAAACCCAUGGUCCCUGCAUUAUUUGAGCAACUGACAAGCUUCUGAAGUUCAGAUUCGCGAAAGCUGAGAGCAGCACCCAGUGGAUUUGUGGCAGAUUUUUGAUUAACCAAGCUGGCUGGUGUCGCCUCAGUUUGUCUAAAUUACCAAGGACCGCUGGAAUUUUCCUGGGAAUAUGUUUCGGGAAAGGUCAGAAACUCUUCAGUCGUCUUCACGCUUCCACUCAGUAGCAACGUUUUUGCACAUUCAUUGACUAUCAACUGGUUCUCUAUGACUCAAAUUACAUAAUGAAUCCAGCACAUAAAUUAUUUACUCAGAUUUAAUUCCA